rnacentral:rRNA from 1 species
CAUGGCUCAGGAUGAACGCUGGCGGCGUGCCUAACACAUGCAAGUCGAACGAAGUGUAUAUAGGAAGUCUUCGGAUGGAAUAUGUAUAACUUAGUGGCGGACGGGUGAGUAACGCGUAAGUAAUCAACCUGUGACACACGGAUAACUGAUAGAAAUGUCAGCUAAUACGAGAUGAACUGUUUAAAUUGGGAAAUGGAAACAGCAAAGCGAAAGCGGUCACAGACGAGCUUGCGUCUGAUUAGCUAGUUGGUGGGGUAAGAGCCUACCAAGGCGACGAUCAGUAGCCGGCCUGAGAGGGUGAACGGCCACAUUGGAACUGAGACACGGUCCAAACUCCUACGG